GGAAGGGUGGGUCAGUGGUUAGAGUCCAGGGCUGGGAAACGAGAGGUCCCGGGUUCGAAUCUCGCAAGUGGCA
rnacentral:tRNA from 1 species